UUAAAAUAUAAAAUUACAAAAUAAAAUUAAAAUAUUUGGUGUUGCAGAGGAAGUAAAAGGUCACUUCUUCAUUUUUCUUCUUCUCUCUCAGACUUCUCUUUCAAACCUCCUUCCUUUCUUCUUUCUUCUUCUUUCUCAAUAUUCCUUUCCCUUCUUCUUUCCACCACCUACCAAUAACAAGAACCAUCGUUUUCAACGACGCCUCACGUUGCCGCUGUCGUCGCAGCGUUUGCAACUUCUUCUUCCACCAUUCACGGCUCCGUCCGUGGCAACUUCUUCUUCCACCAUUCACGGCACCGUUCGAGACAACUUCUUCUUCCACCAUUCACGGCUCUGUCCGUGACAGCUUCUUCUUCCACCAUUCACGGCUCCAUCCGCAACAAC
rnacentral:lncRNA from 1 species